GCUGGGCAUGGUGGCUCAUGCCUGUAAUCCCAGCACUUUGGGAGGCUGAGGUGGGUGGAUCACUUGAGGUCAGGAGUUCAAGACCAGCCUGGCCAACAUGGUGAAACCCCAUCUCUA
rfam:Gorilla gorilla gorilla genomic chromosome, chr4, whole genome shotgun sequence